GGUGGGGGGGCUCAGUCGGUUGAGCGUCUGACUUCGGCUCAGGUCGUGAUCUCGCGGUUCGUGGGUUCGAGCCCCGCCUCCGGUU
rnacentral:tRNA from 1 species